GUUUCUGUUUGGUCUGAUUAAAUGGUAAAUCAUGUAAACGCAGCGUUUCUUACUUUUCUCGAUUAGGGCUUCAUCCUUUUCAUUCAUCCACAGUUCACCUCGCCGUCUCCGUUUUCUUAAUCUUCAGAGUUUCUUUUCUCAUCUCUUGACAUUCCUUCAAGUUCAAUGUUUUCUUUAAAUUCAGCAAUAACGAUUAAACUUUAAAUCAUUAAACUUUGUAACGAUUUCGACCUCUUCGUUACUUCUCCGUCGAAUCUAUAAAUAGGAGAUGGUUGAGAGGUGGAUGAACCUUUGCUAUCACUUUCAGUCUAUAUUUUUUUGUCGAGCGUAGAGAGAUUCUGAGAAAAUGUCUUCCUCUGAUGCCAUUGUUGCACAAGCAGCCUUCGACGUUCUCCGGCUCGGUAGAUCUGCCCAGUUCAUUGUUGCUCUUCUGCUCCGUUUCUGGGACUCCAAAAACAUCAAGAAGCAUGGUGAAUUCAUGGGAGUCACUCUACUUCUCCUUGAUGAGAAGAACUUCGUGAUCCAUGGAUUUCCUUGCUGCUCGCACCACCCACUACCGUCCAUGUUUACGAAGUGGUUCCAUCGUUAAAGUUUCACGCUUUGAACUCCCAGAUGUUGUUGGGAAAAUUCAUUUUGUCCAAGGUUCAGACCUUAAGGACGCUCAAGUGAUGACUCGAGUUGUGGUCUGCUUCGUCAUCGAACCGACUGUUGUGGUGUAUCUCUCUUUAUGGGACGAAGCUGCAGCAAUGUUUAGGGGCCUCAUCAGCUCAGGUGAUAGAACCCAGACUGUUAUGGUGGUCACAACCGUGAAUCCCAAAAAAUUUGCAAACUUAGGAUCGUUGAGGUCUUGAAGCAUAACAACUGGUACUAUGUCUCAUGCACUGGGUGCAGCAGGAAACUAGACAAAUCAGACCAGUCUCCCCAUUGCAACCGCUGUGUUAAUCUUAACGCCACGGGUGUUGUAAAGUACCAAGUAGAAGUAUAAGUUGAUGAUGCAAAUGAUAAUGCCACUUUUGUGGUCUUCGACAGAGAAAUGCUUCAACUCACUAACCUACCUGCAGCUGCUCUUACUCUAAAUGAGAUAAAUAGUGGUGGCAGCGAGCAACUCCCACAAUGCCAUGCAAAAUUUGCUGGAAAAUAUUUUCCAAAUAUGUGUGCCCCCGUUUACUUCCCCUCUAGACAACCCCACUUUCACUGUUCAACUCUUUUCCAGACUUCCAACCCCAAGGCAGCUCCAUUUAUUGAAAGGGAAAUUGGCCAAGCAUCUGCUUCUACCAGCACCGAAGUUGAAGGUCUAAAGGAUGACACACAUCCAGAGGGAGUUAAGGAAGAAGAGGUUGGCAAUACACACACCCGUGAGUGAAGAUACGAAGCUGCCACACCGUCGACCCAACCCUGCUCCUGUUUCUUUACAAUAUCAAAUAUUACUAUGCAUUUUCUAUGUUUCACUUUUAUAUAUUUUCCUUUUUUCCAGGUUUUUUAACAAGCCUUUUACGUACCUCUUCGGAGAACAACUAUUUUAUUAAUUAAAAAGGGUUGACGUGA